rnacentral:rRNA from 1 species
UACGUGGGGACCAAGCGUUGUUCGGAUUUACUGGGCGUAAAGGGCGCGUAGGCGGCGUGGUAAGUCACUUGUGAAAUCUCUGAGCUUAACUCAGAACGGCCAAGUGAUACUGCUGUGCUAGAGUGCAGAAGGGGCAAUCGGAAUUCUUGGUGUAGCGGUGAAAUGCGUAGAUAUCAAGAGGAACACCUGAGGUGAAGACGGGUUGCUGGGCUGACACUGACGCUGAGGCGCGAAAGCUAGGGGAGCAAACGGG